AUUGAACGCUGGCGGCAGGCCUAACACAUGCAAGUAGAACGAGUGGCGGACGGGUGAGUAAUGUCUGGGAAACUGCCUGAUGGCGGGGGAUAACUACGGGAAACGGUAGCUAAUACCGCAUACCAUCAGAUGUGCCCAGAUGGGAUUAGCUUGUUGGUGGGGUAACGGCUACCCAAGGCGACGAUCCCUAGCUGGUCUGAGAGGAUGCCCAGCCACACUGGAUCGUAGACACGGUCCAGACGCCUACGUGAGGCAGCAGUGGGGUAUAUUGGACAAUGGGCGCAAGCCUGAUGCAGCCAUGCCGCUUGUAUGAAGAAGGCCUUCGGGUUGUAAAGUACUUUCAGCGGGGAGGCGUGACCCGCAGAAGAAGCACCGGCUAACUCCGUGCCAGCAGCCGCGGUAAUAC
rnacentral:rRNA from 1 species